AUGGCCCCGCCCCUGUUCCGGGCGGCCGUGACCCUGCUGGAGUCCGGGGGGGACCUCCAGCCCCCCGGGGGGUCCCUGCGCCUCCUCUGCCGAGGGGAUGGAUUUGAUUUCGGGAAAUUUGGGAUGAUCUGGAUCCGUCAGAAACCCGGGAAGGGGCUGGAAUACGUCGCGAGCAUCAGCAGCGGUGGCAGCACGUACUACGCUCCAUCCGUGCGUGGCCGGUUCACCAUCAGCAGGGACAACGGGCAGAGCUCGGUGACGCUGAGCAUGAACAACCUCCAGGACGAGGAUUCCGGGGUUUAUUUCUGCGGCAAAUCUGCUGAUGCUGGUUCUGGAGCUGGUGCUUAUGGUGACGUCACCAUCGCCAGGGACAGCGGGCAGAGCUCGGUGACGCUGAGCAUGAACAACCUCCAGGACGAGGAUUCCGGGGUUUAUUUCUGUGCCAAAAAAUUUGCUGCUGGUGCUGCUGCUAAUGCUGCUGGUGUUGAAUCCUCGUCCUGGAGGUUGUUCAUGCUCAGCGUCACCGAGCUCUGCCCGUUGUCCCUGGCGGUGGUGAACCGGCUCCCCACCGAUGGAGCGUAG